rnacentral:lncRNA from 1 species
UUGGCAGAGUGAAAAACACAGACCUGGCCUACAAAGCACAAUUUGGUAGAUAUUCAGGCACAGGCUCAAAAGCAAAUAUAUGUUUGCCCACAUAGAAAAUCCACGUGUGGGCAAACAGAACAAAGUUCCAUUGUUGUAAUGUGUGUUACAACAAUGGAACUUUUUUUUUCCUAUUUGCCCAUAUAUGGGUGGCCGGUGACGUGAUGAGAUCACAUAGGAUCAUAGGCCUAUUUUACCAGAACAAUUAUGGGUAAUGUUUGGUAUGUAGCUAAAUGGGCUUUUCAUCCAGCCUGCUUUUGGUAAAACCCAGUGGAGACAACUUUGCAUCUUUCCCUUUCAGAGUAUCGAGAAUCACCUACAGUAUGAUUCAAAGCAAAAAUAAAGCAGAGAUUUUUAACAUUUAUUGUAAAGUCCAGCUUCUGCUAGAUGGCAUAAAACAGCGCUGCGGCUGUGAAGAUGAAGAUGAAAUUGAGUUAGCGGAUGAGAGUGGCCAAGUGAAGAAUUUACCCCAAAACAAGCACCGGUGUGCCACCGAACUUCUAAUGGAGAGAGAGACCUAUGUGCUCCUUGGUGUCACAGGUAGGUCCUGCACACUAAAUCAGACAUUCUCAAUGGGGGCUGUAUGGUCGCCUGGGGGGGCCCACAGACUGGAAACAAUGAUUCACACACCCGAGAGACCUAUGUGCUUCUUGGUGUCACAGGUAGGUCCUGAACUCUAA